UACGUAGGGUGCGAGCGUUGUCCGGAAUUAUUGGGCGUAAAGAGCUCGUAGGCGGUUUGUUGCGUCGGCUGUGAAAUCCCGAGGCUCAACCUCGGGUCUGCAGUCGAUACGAGCAAACUAGAGUGUUGCAGGGGAGACUGGAAUUCCUGGUGUAGCGGUGAAAUGCGCAGAUAUCAGGAGGAACACCUGUGGCGAAGGCGGCCGACUGGGCCGACCCUGACGCUGAGGCGCGAAGGCGUGGGGAGCGAACGGG
rnacentral:rRNA from 1 species